rnacentral:tRNA from 1 species
GGAUUGUGGCUCAGUGGUAGAGCACUCAUCUAGCACAGGCGGGACCCGGGUUCGAUCCUCAGCACCA